UACAUCAAGAAGAAAUGCAGGUGGGUGGGGCUCAUAUGGGGGGUGACAUCAUGGGGUGAUGUAGGUGGGUGGGGCUCAUAUGUGGGGGUGACAUCAUGGGGUGAAGCAGGUGGGUGGGGCUCAUGUGGGGGGGUGACAUCAUGGGGUGAUGCAGGUGGGUGGGGAUCAUAUGUGGGGGUGACAUCAUGGGGUGAUGCAGGUGGGUGGGGCUCAUAUGUGGGGUGACAUCAUGGGGUGAUGAGGUAAUGAUUAAGAGGGACAGACGGGGGCAUUCGUACUGUGCCGUUAGAGGUGAAAUUCUUGGAUCGGCGCAAGACGAACGACUGCGAAAGCAUUUGCCAAGAAUGUUUUCUUUAAUCAAGAGCGAAAGUCAGAGGUUCGAAGACGAUCAGAUACCGUCCUAGUUCUGACUAUAAACGAUGCCAACUAGCGAUCGGGGGGCGUUACAUUGACGACCCCUCCGGCAGCUUACGGGAAACCAAAGUCUUUGGGUUCCGGGGGAAGUAUGGUUGCAAAGCUGAAACUUAAAGGAAUUGACGGAAGGGCACCACCAGGAGUGGAGCCUGCGGCUUAAUUUGACUCAACACGGGAAAUCUCACCCGGCCCGGACACAGUGAGGAUUGACAGAUUGAGAGCUCUUUCUUGAUUCUGUGGGUGGUGGUGCAUGGCCGUUCUUAGUUGGUGGAGCGAUUUGUCUGGUUAAUUCCGAUAACGAACGAGACUCUGGCUUGCUAAAUAGUUACGCGACCAUCCCGGUCGGCGUUUAACUUCUU
rnacentral:ncRNA from 1 species